rnacentral:rRNA from 1 species
AGAGUUUGAUCCUGGCUCAGAACGUACGCUGGCGGCACGCCUAACACAUGCAAGUCGAACGAAGUAGCAAUACUUAGUGGCGAACGGGUGAGUAUAAUGUGGGUAUCUGCCUUUUGGUUUGGAAUAACACGAGGAAACUUGUGCUAAUACCGGAUAAGCCCUUACGGGGAAAGUUUUAACGCCGAAAGAUGAGCCCGCACUUGAUUAGCUAGUUGGUAGGGUAAUGGCCUACCAAGGCUUCGAUCAAUAGUUGAUCUGAGAGGAUGAUCAGCCACAUUGGGACUGAGACACGGCCUAAACUCCUACGGGAGGCAGCAGUGGGGAAUCUUGCACAAUGGGGGAAACCCUGAUGCAGCGAUGCCGCGUGAGUGAAGAAGGCCUUUGGGUUGUAAAGCUCUUUCGUCGAGGAAGAAAAUGACUGUACUCGAAUAAGAAGGUCCGGCUAACUUCGUGCCAGCAGCCGCGGUAAUACGAAGGGACCUAGCGUAGUUCGGAAUUACUGGGCUUAAAGAGCUCGUAGGUGGUUAGAAAAGUUGGUGGUGAAAUCCCAAGGCUUAACCUUGGAACUGCCACCAAAACUUUUUGACUAGAGUAUGAUAGAGGAAAGUGGAAUUUCUAGUGUAGAGGUGAAAUUCGUAGAUAUUAGAAAGAACACCAAUUGCGAAGGCAGCUUUCUGGAUCAUUACUGACACUGGGGAGCGAAAGCAUGGGUAGCGAAGAGGAUUAGAUACCCUCGUAGUCCAUGCCGUAAACGAUGUGUGCUAGACGUUGGA